ACCUGGGUGGCUCAGUCGGUUGAGCAUCUGACUUCAGCUCAGGUCAUGAUCUCCUGGUUCGUGGGUUCCAGCCCUGCGUCAGGCU
rfam:Felis catus isolate Cinnamon breed Abyssinian chromosome E3, whole genome shotgun sequence.